UAGAUAAUCUGCCUGAUGAUUCGGGAUAACACUUCGAAAGGGGUGCUAAUACCGGAUAAGCCCACGGAGUCCUUGGACUCUGCGGGAAAAGGGGGGACCUUUACCGGCCUUCUGUCAUCAGAUGAGUCUGCGUACCAUUAGCUAGUUGGUAGGGUAAUGGCCUACCAAGGCUACGAUGGUUAGCUGGUUUGAGAGAAUGAUCAGCCACACUGGAACUGAGACACGGUCCAGACUCCG
rnacentral:rRNA from 1 species